rnacentral:piRNA from 1 species
UGGGCUGUUCUGAACACUACAUCAGUCU